AAAAACAACAACAACAACAAAAAGAAAAGUGUAUAUAAAAUAUAUAUAUCCGUGUGUGUGGAUCUGCAACUAUAGCUAUAGAGACGUGUGUACGUAUAUGAAUAUAUCUGGUGAGUAUUAUCACCACAAUACCAUUAUAAGGCAUCUGUAGAUGUUCUGAAAACACCUAGAUUGUUCGAGAAGAAUCUGGUGAACAGAACUGCUCCAGGGAGGUUUUAUGAGGUCGGGAGGUCAGGAGAAGCUGUUAAAGUCUAACAAGGCAGAUUCUGCCUAGGGGACUUCUUCCUGCCGGGAAGACUCCUUACUCUACUUCUGUGAGUUUGACUUAGCUGUUUACAUUAGUCCUUAACCUGGCUGGGCUGUUUAUUUUCUUACACAUUUCUAAGCUUACCUGGCUACUUAACGUCUCCCUCCAACCCUGUUGUAGGCUUUUUGAACUGCUGAUUCAUAAUAACUAAACAAAGCCUCCACAGCAGGACCCUUAAGGGGUGGAGUGUGGUUGGAGAUCACUGGGGCUGGCCUUAAUGGGCCAUAGGGACUUUGCCCCUUCUAGUAUCUUUCUGUCUGUCUGUCUGUCUGUCUCUGCUUCCUGGCUGCUGUGAAGUGAAAAAUCCCUCCAUCACCUUCUGCCUUGCAACAAGACUAUGGACUGCAACCCUGAAACCAUAAUUCAAAAUAACCCUUUCUCCUUAUCAGCUGAUUAUCUCUGGUAUUUUGUUACAGCAAGCAAAAGCUAACAGUGACCAUGUGCGUAUAAUGCUUUUGAGGUUCACCCUCCUUGUAGCAUGUACCAGAAUUUUAUUCCUUUUUUGUAGCUGAAUAGUAUUCCGCUGGAUGGCUAGACCACAUUUUGUUCAAUCCAGUCACACAUGGAAGGACAUCUGGGCUGUGGCUACCUUUUGGCCACUGUGACAGAGCUGCUAUGACCAUGUAUGUGUAUGUGCUUGUUUAAAUCCCCACUUGCAGUUCCUUGGGGUGUAUACCCAGGAGCGAAUUGCCAGGUCAUGGAGUAAGUCUAGGUUUAACUUUCUGAGGAACUGCUGAACUGUUUUUCACAGUGGCUGCACUAUUUUAUGUCCCUACCAGUCACGCACAAGAGUUCCAACUUCUCCAUAUCCCUGCGACAUCCUUUUUAAGUGACUGCUGUCAGGCUAGUGGCUGUGAAGUGGUAUCCCACUGUGGUUUUGCUUUACGUUUCC